CCUACGGGCGGCAGCAGUGGGGAAUAUUGGGCAAUGGGGGGAACCCUGAUCCAGCCAUGCCGCGUGUGUGAAGAAGGCCCUCGGGUUGUAAAGCACUUUCAGUGAGGAAGAACGCCUGGUGGUUAAUACCCAUCAGGAAAGACAUCACUCACAGAAGAAGCACCGGCUAACUCCGUGCCAGCAGCCGCGGUAAUACGGAGGGUGCGAGCGUUAAUCGGAAUUACUGGGCGUAAAGCGCGCGUAGGUGGCUUGAUAAGCCGGUUGUGAAAGCCCCGGGCUCAACCUGGGAACGGCAUCCGGAACUGUCAAGCUAGAGUGCAGGAGAGGAAGGUAGAAUUCCCGGUGUAGCGGUGAAAUGCGUAGAGAUCAGGAGGAAUACCAGUGGCGAAGGCGGCCUUCUGGACUGACACUGACACUGAGGUGCGAAAGCGUGGGUAGCAAACAGGAUUAGAUACCCCUGUAGUC
rnacentral:rRNA from 1 species